rnacentral:rRNA from 1 species
GAGUUUGAUCGUGGCUCAGAUUGAACGCUGGCGGCAGGCCUAACACAUGCAAGUCGAGCGGUAGCACAGAGAGCUUGCUCUCGGGGUGACGAGCGGCGGACGGGUGAGUAAUGUCUGGGAAACUGCCUGAUGGAGGGGGAUAACUACUGGAAACGGUAGCUAAUACCGCAUAACGUCGCAAGACCAAAGUGGGGGACCUUCGGGCCUCAUGCCAUCAGAUGUGCCCAGAUGGGAUUAGCUAGUAGGUGGGGUAACGGCGUCACCUAGGCGACGAUCCCUAGCUGGUCUGAGAGGAUGACCAGCCACACUGGAACUGAGACACGGUCCAGACUCCUACGGGAGGCAGCAGUGGGGAAUAUUGCACAAUGGGCGCAAGCCUGAUGCAAGCCAUGCCGCGUGUGUGAAGAAGGCCUCGGUGUAAG